ACAAAGCCGUCCAGUGACUCCCCUCCCCCUCCUAGAACCCCCUACGAUGAGCGGUUAUUGCCAGUCAACUUUACAAAGCGUUAUGUCAAACCAACUGAUCUGGCAAAAGAUUUUAUACCCCCAUCUGUCCCCGAGGAAGAAGAUCCCC